GGUAUCAUACACAAUGUUUCAAAUACCAAUUUCCUCUUAAAUGAUAUUCAAAUGUCUGUAUUGGUAUAUUUGAUAUUUCAUAGGAGCUUCAACGCAUUUUGGAUAUUGAUAAUAUCAACUUCAUCGAUGAACUGAAGGGAAGAUUCAGUUUUUUGGUGUAUGGAAAAAGGCACUGAAACCCCCAAUGGGCAUGGACAAAGGUAGGGAAUGGUGUUUUGGUGUUAUUAGUGAAUAGGGUUUAGGGUGGACCUUCAGGCAUGUUAAUUGUCAAGUAGAGCUAGUGUUUUGUCAUCCUUCUUUUUCAUCUAUGAUGGCUAUCCCAUUAUUUGCUGGAUUUUUUUUUUUUAUUUUAAGCUAUUGUGGGUCUACUCCCUAUUUAUUUGUCGUGUUAUUUUUUUUUUUUAAAGCAUUGCGUCUGUUGUAUACCUUUUGAUCAGAUUUGACCUUGUGCAUUUUGUCCAAGUGCUUAAGUAAUGAAUCUUUUCCUGUACAGCUGAACAGGCUCCUGAGAUUCUACGUGUGCUGCCAUCACUGUUCUCCUCCACAUCUGCUCCUCCAAAGAGGCUACGAGAUCCGAGUGAGGCUCUGGUGCAUGUCCUCGAGGAAACAGAAGACCCCAAUUCCUACUUAAAGAAAUGCCCUCUCUCCUGCCCAGUCCUGAUUGUCGGUCCGUCCAACUGCCUCCUAGCAGUAGGAGAUGUGGCAAUAACCACCUUUCCAAAAGACAAGCUUACUGAGAGUGCUUUAUACCUCAUGGCCUACUAUUAUACCCUACACCUGACUUAUCCAAAGUGUGUAGCCACUCUGCUUUCAGUCAUACAGACGGAGGUCCUCUUAGACAAAAUCCAUGAGAGAGAUCUCACAUCGUCUUACUAGAAGAGCAUGGCUGAGUGGAAAGCUUUUAUUGGCCAAUAAAAGCAGUGGUCAUGUAGGAUAGCACUUCCUCUCUCCCUCCAAGGGUACUAGUGUUCAUUUCUUGGUCGGAAUUUGGCUAAGUUAGCCCAGUGUUCAUUUGGGGUGCACAACAAUAUUAGCCAACAUGCCGAUAUCCUGUGAUGUGAUGUUAUAUUUUGUGUUGUUUGCACAAUUCAGUGCAGAUUCUGCUUAGUUUUAAGUUUAUUUUAACUUUUCAGUUAAUAUUGAGUUUACACAACUAAUUGUCUGUUCAGCAGGUGCAGUCACUAAUUUAGGCGCAUCUACUGUGAAAGAGUAUUGACUAAGCAGUUAAGUUGGGAUAAAAGUGAAUAUAGCGAUAUUGGUUAUUGUCCUGUUGAGUUGAAUGGUUCAUCCUUAAUGGUGAUGUUACAAUGUUGUAUUGAGGGACUAGUUGUUUAUGUAAGCCCAAAACCUUUCAUUUGAAUGUUACAAUAUUAAGCAUUUGUAUUAAGAAUGAAUGGUGGAGCAGUUUUAGUGUGCCUAGUGUGUCUGUAUGCUUUGAGUGUGUCAGAUUUUGUACGUGUAUUGAGGGGCACAUUGGUCAGAUAUUUGGACCUGUCCUUGACUCACUCACAUAUUCUUCUAUGUUUUCAUAUUGCAGUUCCAUAAAUAUUGUGAACCAAAAUGUUGAGGAAAAAAAGCUAUUUCCCUGCAGUCCUCUGGGACGUUUUGCUGUUUAAAUAAAAUGUAAAAAGUUGGUUAAAUGCAAGACUAGUUUUCAUUAUUUUUUUUUGUCUUAUAUAAGAAGUAGUUAAUGUCUUGAAUCUAGAACAGUAUUACUUUUGUAGAGCUUACAAUAAGGUAAAUACACUUGAGAUGAGUAAAUUGUGGCUUAUUAUGGCAAAAGAGCACUGCCUAAUACGAGUCAGGAAUGCUAACUUCAAGACAUUUUGUCUCAAAAUGCCAGUUUCUAAUCUUAUUUCAAGUAGGUGGUGGACUUAAAUCUAGAACAGUGUAACAAUUAUAGAACUUAAAAUUAGUUUAAAUACACUUGAAACAAACAGGAUGACAAAAAAAGAUGCUACUUUUGAGGGGAAAAUACUAUUUUUGAGCAUCACAAGCUUAUUAUGAGACACAAAACAUCCCAAUACUAGUAAAAUAUAGCUAAAAAUGAGUUUUCCCAGCUAAUUUCAAGAUCACUCUUAUCUUGUAAGGCUUAAAUAUAAUGUCUUAUUUCAAGAAAUCUUACCAAGAGAAUUUUCUCUUGUUCCAUUGGCAGAUUUUUUUGCUUAUUACAAGCAAAAAUAUCUUGUUUUAAUUUUUUUUUUCUUAUUUUUGGAGUGGCUUUUUUCCAGUGCAUAAUUGAGUGGAAAAAAUAAUAUGUAUGUGGCAUCAAUCCGUCACCGUACAAAAAUGUUGUGGUGUAUGACCAAGUAUGUCAUUGUUAAACAACAUCACCAAUAAUGUAAGAGGCCUGUGGAGAUUUUGAGAAGAACUAUGGAUUCAACAUUAAUAAUGAUUUUCAUAAUGCACGGUAAGUAUAUAUUUUGUGAUGUAGAAAAAAUUCUAGGCAGCAGAUGUAAAUAUGUGGUCAAUUAAGUUCAGAAAUUGGUAUAUACAAAAGUAAAUAUUUGCUGCAUUGUUUUUUAUUGUAUUGUAUGUACUUCUUUGGGGUAGAGAGGUAAAACCUGUAUAUCAAAACCCUUAAUGCACUAUCUCAGAUUCAUAAGGCUUAAUGUGUUAUCAGAAGGGGCUCUCUAACAAAUAAUGCACAGUGGUUAAAUUAUAAAAAGAUGCUUUAGAAAUAUGCUACAGUAGGAGUGUACAUGAAAAUACUAUUUGAAGGAAAUGUGUAAUUAUCCUUACACAACUUCUAUUGUGAUUGUGAAAAUAGUCAUGACUUUCAGGGCUUGAACUAACUGUCUAAAUAGGCCCAUUUAAAAUAUGCUGUAGUUAUUAUAUGUAGGCCUAGUUGUAGCCUAUAUUCUGAAAAAAAAAUUGUUCAACAUGUAUUUUCACAUUAAAAACUGGUAUUUACAAGCUAAAUCUAGUUAGGUUCUCUGUGUUUGAACGAGCACUAAACCAGUUGGCGGUGCUAAUGUCCAAAAAAUGUAGGUACGUGUUAACAUGCAAUUAACGUGUUAACACGCAAAUGACGUGUUAACGCGUAAUUACGUGUUAACGCGUUAAUGACGCGUUAACACAUAAGUUUCACACGUUUUGGCCCUUUUGGCCUUCCAUACCAGUUUGGUCAUUAGGACAUACAGUAGGUAGACAUCCAAAAUGGGUAAUACCGCCGCCGCCCAAGUCAGUGUUAAAAUCAUUUGUGAAACUACCGCCAGGUGGCGCAAAGGGACGGAUUGCGAAAUGAAUGUAAUUGUAAAAUGAAAGGAAGACGUAAAACAGCAAUAACAUUAUAAUAUACAUAACAUCCUUAAAAGGCAUUAAAAAAUAGGAUAGUCUUAGGCUACAGUCUACUCAUCAAAAAUGUAAAGAAAGACCUUAUAUACGGAUUAAAAGUUUUAUAUUAGUAAAUGUUUUGUAUUUUGUAUUAGUAAAUGUUACAUUUACAUUAUAAUUAGUAAAUGUUUUAAUUUCGGUUCAUUCUUGGUUAAAAAAAAAAAAAUACUUCAGGUUCCAUUUGCAGAGCGAAAUGAGAACGGUCCAGCAUUUACAAAUAAUUCUUAUUAACUCUGUUAUUAUUCUUGAUUAUUCAAACUGCUAACACUUUGCAUUUUUGAAUUAUGCCUUUACUGUGUGACCAAAAAUUGUGAAUUGUGACUUUGAUCGCGCUGGUGCCUCACACGCACAUAUUCAUUGGAAACAGCAGUCGUUCACCGAGCCAUGCGGCGCGAGCAGUGGUCCACUUUGGCAUAUUUUUACUCAUUAUGAUUUUUUUUCCGUCGAUACUGAAACACGUGUGAAAUCCAAAGCCUAUUUUACCUCAUGAAAAAGAGUUUAGCUUCAAAUGGGCAACAUGUUUGGAUUUGUCCCGAAUGAGAGAGAUAAGCCUAACAUUAUGUAUCGCUUUAAAUUAUUUUUAAUUAUUACUUUUGUUUUGUUUAUAAGCCUAUAUUAUUAUUAUAUACUGCAAUUAUAUUUAUCCAUUAGAAUUAUAUAUUUGUAAUUCUUGUUCUGUUCUGAUAAAUUUGCUAAAUUUAAAAGAUUUGUUGUAAAGUGAAGAGAACUAAAAAUAUCCUGUUGGUACAUUAGCCUAUAGCAUUAUUAGGCCUGCCGUUAUUAUUUCUAAAUGUAAUAAAAUGCAACUCUCACAAAUGUAAUUUAUUUUUUAGCGUGUUUAAAAAAAAUGCAGCAAACGAAAAUAGGCGAUUAAUCGGUUAAAAUGUGUUAUUGUGGGCUAACAAAUUUACAUUGUAUACUUAGGAACAGAGUAUGGGCCUAAUCUAAGCUAUGUUGUUAACUAUUUACAAGUUUCGUGUAGCUAUAAUUUUAUCCAGCUUUAUUUUUCCAUUGCAUCUGAAAAUGACUUUGUGCAUCACAUUCACUCCGCAUGCUCAAGCUGCCUCCCGCGAUGCUCAGCUGUGGACGAUUUCAAAAUGUUCAAACGAAAAUAGGCGAUUAAUCGGUUAAAAUGUGUUAUUGUGGGCUAACAAAUUUACAUUGUAUACUUAGGAACAGAGUAUGGGCCUAAUCUAAGCUAUGUUGUUAACUAUUUACAAGUUUCGUGUAGCUAUAAUUUUAUCCAGCUUUAUUUUUCCAUUGCAUCUGAAAAUGACUUUGUGCAUCACAUUCACUCCGCAUGCUCAAGCUGCCUCCCGCGAUGCUCAGCUGUGGACGAUUUCAAAAUGUUUGAUAUAAAGGUUGCUGUCACAUAUUAUAUACAGGAAUUUAAAAAAAAGUCAAAAUAUAUUGUUAGUUUUAUGCUAAGAUGCAAUCAAGGUCUUCAGAUACUAUAAAAGAUACAAGUUCAUUUAGACUAUUUAACAUGCACUGUGACAUUUUACCAUUUCAACUUAUAAACUCCUUAAGAUUUUAAAG
rnacentral:lncRNA from 1 species